UCGAGCUGGCACUUCCCGUUCCUGAAUGUUGUCCUUGUAUAAUCAUAAAAUGUCUAUUAGGGGCUUCAGAAAAGUCAAGUCGGCAAUUCUAGGACAGAUUUUUACAAAAGACAGAAAAAAAAAUAAAAAGCAUCAUCCCAGAGUCUAAACACAAGCGUUCAGUCUAAGCACAUUUUUCUACGAGACAGCAACACAUCUUCCCUGGCGGUGAGCUCGGAACGGCAGCCCUGUUCUGUACAGGAGGAACACAUUGCUGAUAAUGGGCCCCAUGUUGUCAAGUACAAGGAUUCCAGGUCCAAAAAGAGGCCAAAAGCUGCAUGCAAGUGACUUCAAAAUGGGCAUUAGCACUUUGAUGACACCGACUGGCAUAAGAAAGGAGACGGACUGGCGUGCACUGGUCUAACACGAAAGCCACAGCACAAAAUGGUUGCCUGGUAUAGCCACUAAUGUCAGAUGAAUGGAAUAAGGUUUAGCUCCAGGCCAGACUGACAUGGCAUCUCCCUGCAGGCACACAUUGCCUCCAGCACUGGUCACACCGUCAUACCCGGAGCAAUGCUUGCACUACUUCUUUGAAGAUCAGAAUAUAUGUUAUAUGCUGUUGAACUAUGUUACAAACAGAAGUAUAUAUUAUUUAUCUUGUCCUACAAGUCCUAAAUAUCCUAUAUGCUGCCCAUCCUAUAAAAUAACCCUAUGCUCAUUGUAACUUGUCCACAAAAAGGGUAUCUAGAAAAAGAGUGCGCUUAAAUGGGCACUCUCAUUAAAACUAAUUUUUGCUA